AGUGAACGCUGGCGGUAGGCCUAACACAUGCAAGUCGAACGGCAGCACAGUAAGAGCUUGCUCUUACGGGUGGCGAGUGGCGGACGGGUGAGGAAUACAUCGGAAUCUACUUUUUCGUGGGGGAUAACGUAGGGAAACUUACGCUACUACCGCAUACGACCUACGGGUGAAAGCAGGGGUUCUUCGGACCUUGCGCGAUUGAUUGAGCCGAUGUCGGAUUAGCUAGUUGGCGGGGUAAAGGCCCACCAAGGCGACGAUCCGUAGCUGGUCUGAGAGGAUGAUCAGCCACACUGGAACUGAGACACGGUCCAGACUCCUACGGGAGGCAGCAGUGGGGAAUAUUGGACAAUGGGCGCAAGCCUGAUCCAGCCAUACCGCGUGGGUGAAGAAGGCCUUCGGGUUGUAAAGUCCUUUUGUUGGGAAAGAAAAGCAGCAGGUUAAUACCCCGCUGUUCUGACGGUACCCAAAGAAUAAGCACCGGCUAACUUCGUG
rnacentral:rRNA from 1 species